UGUCAGUAAGGCCAUUUGAGGAGAUCAUUAGGAUCAGGAUGACGCAUUAUCUGAGUUAGGUGUUAUAAUGUUUGGAUUGUAGCAAGAAGGCUAACUUUACAAAAUGUUCAGGAUCUUUUAAGUGCCUGAAGAAACUGCGAUGGACAACUCCCCUGAUGAUCUUUGAUGACACCCCCAAGGAGUGAUUGCACCACUUUACAUCCCCACCAGUGGUGCACAUGGGCCAAGUUUAAUGCUUAAAUACUCUAAAGAUGGUGUAUUAUAUAUGCAGAAACCAAGACAAGCUGCAGCCUCACAGAUAAUACAAUUCCAAUGGGGAAUAUGCCUAAGAACCUCUUGACAUAGCCCAGGGUCCUGUAUUAUCCUAUAUUGUAU